GAUGAACGCUGGCGGCGUGCUUAACACAUGCAAGUUGAACGGUCCGGCAUGGAAGCUUGCUGAAGUGUCGGGUAGUAGCGGACGGGUGAGUAAUGCAUGAGAAGCUGCCAUUGGGAGGGGGACAACAGUUGGAAACGGCUGCUAAUACCCCAUAUGCCGGAAGGUGAAACGGAGUGAUCCGCCCGAUGAGGUGCUCAUGUCCUAUCAGCUAGUUGGUGAGGUAACGGCUCACCAAGGCGACGACGGGUAGCCGGCCUGAGAGGGUGACCGGCCACACUGGAACUGAGUUACGGUGCAGACUCCUACGGAAGGCAGCAGUGGGGAAUAUUGGGCGAUGGGGGCAACCCUGACCCAGCCACGCCGCGUGAGGGAAGACGGCCUUCGGGUUGUAAACCUCUUUUGUACGGGAAGAAGGAUGUGACGGUACCGUGCGAAUAAGUCCCGGCUAACUACGUGCCAGCCGCCGCCGUAA
rnacentral:rRNA from 1 species